CACGUAGGGCGCAAGCGUUGUCCGGAAUUAUUGGGCGUAAAGAGCUCGUAGGUGGUUUGUUACGUCUGCUGUGAAAACCUAGGGCUUAACCCUGGGCUUGCAGUGGAUACGGGCAGACUAGAGGUAGGUAGGGGAGAAUGGAAUUCCUGGUGUAGCGGUGAAAUGCGCAGAUAUCAGGAGGAACACCGGUGGCGAAGGCGGUUCUCUGGGCCUUACCUGACACUGAGGAACGAAAGCCAGGGGAGCGAACGGG
rnacentral:rRNA from 1 species